rnacentral:rRNA from 1 species
ACGCUCGACACCUACGAGAGGCAGCAGUGGGGAAUAUUGCACAAUGGGGGGAACCCUGAUGCAGCGACGCCGCGUGAGUGAAGAAGUACUUCGGUAUGUAAAGCUCUAUCAGCAGGGAAGAAAAUGACGGUACCUGACUAAGAAGCCCCGGCUAACUACGUGCCAGCAGCCGUGACGUAUCNGNGGCGGGUCGUGGACGAAGGC